rnacentral:rRNA from 1 species
AAGCGUGCGCAGGCGGUUAUGUAAGACAGAUGUGAAAUCCCCGGGCUCAACCUGGGAACUGCAUUUGUGACUGUAUAGCUGGAGUGCGGCAGAGGGGGAUGGAAUUCCGCGUGUAGCAGUGAAAUGCGUAGAUAUGCGGAGGAACACCGAUGGCGAAGGCAAUCCCCCUGGGCCUGCACUGACGCUCAUGCACGAAAGCGUGGGGAGCAAACAGGAUUAGAUACCCUUGU